rnacentral:rRNA from 1 species
UUUUUUAAAUUGCUGUGGUAUUUUGACUAUACAAAGGUAUUGAAAUAAGAUUUUAAUUGAAUGCUAAGAGAAUGGAAUUUCAGAAAAAAACUUUUUUUAAAUUAAAAAUUGAAAUUUUUUUAAUUUGUGCAGAAACAAUUAUUAACAUUAAGGACAAGAAGACCCUAUGAAUUUUUAAAAUUUUUAAUAAUAGUAAUUUAUUAUUAUUAAAAAUUUUAGCUGGGGCGGCUAAAAAAUAUAAUUAACUUUUUAAGAAUAAAACGAUCCACUAAUAAUGAUUACAUGUUAAAUACUCUAGGGAUAACAGCGUAAA